UACAGAGGUCUCAAGCGUUGUUCGGAUUCAUUGGGCGUAAAGGGUGUGUAGGUGGCGCCGUAAGUCGGGUGUGAAAUUUCGGAGCUUAACUCCGAAACUGCAUUCGAUACUGCGGUGCUUGAGGACUGGAGAGGAGACUGGAAUUCAUGGUGUAGCAGUGAAAUGCGUAGAGAUCAUGAGGAAGACCAGUGGCGAAGGCGGGUCUCUGGACAGUUCCUGACACUGAGACACGAAGGCCAGGGGAGCAAAC
rnacentral:rRNA from 1 species